rfam:Medicago truncatula strain A17 chromosome 3, whole genome shotgun sequence.
AUGUAAACAACUUUUUAUUUUUUAGGUUCAUUCAAUAAAUGAUGUAUGUGGUCUGAGACCACAUACAUCAUUUAUUGAAUGAACCUAAAAAAUAAAAAGUUGUUUACAU